rnacentral:rRNA from 1 species
UAUGUGAUCGUCUCUCGCAUAUCAAUAAGCGGAGGAAAAGAAACUAACAAGGAUUCCCCUAGUAACGGCGAGUGAAGCGGGAAGAGCUCAAAUUUGAAAUCUUAAAGGGUUUCCCUUUACGAAUUGUAGUUUAAAGAAGUGUUUUCUGUUGAGGUUUUGGUAAAAGUUCUUUGGAAUAGGACAUCAUAGAGGGUGAGAAUCCCGUAUUUGACCUUUACUUUCAACUUUGUGAUACACUUUCAAAGAGUCGGAUUGUUUGGGAAUGCAGUCCAAAAUGGGUGGUAAAUUUCAUCUAAAGCUAAAUAUUGGCGAGAGACCGAUAGCGAACAAGUACCGUGAGGGAAAGAUGAAAAGAACUUUGAAAAGAGAGUUAAACAGUACGUGAAAUUGUCAAAAGGGAAGCGUUUGACACCAGUGUUGUUUUUCUGAAAAUCAAUUAAAGAACUGUUUAUGCUAAGUUGUUUAGACUUUAUCAGCUAACUGUUUAGUUUUGAGCUUUUCUUUAAUGCACUUUUCAGUUAACAAGUCAACAUCAAUUUCUUUUGCUGCUAAAAAGCUUGAGGAAGGUGGCUUGAGAUUCGUCUUAAGUGUUUAUAGCCUCUUGCCUAUGCAGUCGGAGAGAUUGAGGUCUGCAGCGUAGAUCCUUCGGGGCUAAAUGCAUUUGUGCUAAGUUAUAGCAUUUUAUAGACAACUUGUUGACUAUGAUUUGUCUUGUAGCUUACUCGCUUAUGUUAUUUUACCUACGCUUAGGAUGUUGAGUAGCGACAUACGCAC